ACGCUGGCGGCGUGCCUAAUACAUGCAAGUCGAACGAGAGCGACCGGUGCUUGCACUGGUCAAUCUAGUGGCGAACGGGUGAGUAACACGUGGGUAACCUGCCCAUCAGAGGGGGAUAACAUUCGGAAACGGAUGCUAAAACCGCAUAGGUCCUUUAACCGCAUGGUUGAAGGAGGAAAAGAGGCGCAAGCUUCUGCUGAUGGAUGGACCCGCGGUGCAUUAGCUAGUUGGUGAGGUAACGGCUCACCAAGGCCGUGAUGCAUAGCCGACCUGAGAGGGUGAUCGGCCACAUUGGGACUGAGACACGGCCCAAACUCCUACGGGAGGCAGCAGUAGGGAAUCUUCCGCAAUGGACGCAAGUCUGACGGAGCAACGCCGCGUGAGUGAAGAAGGUUUUCGGAUCGUAAAACUCUGUUGUUAGAGAAGAACAAGUGCUAGAGUAACUGUUAGCGCCUUGACGGUAUCUAACCAGAAAGCCACGGCUAACUACGUGCCAGCAGCCGCGGUAAUACGUAGGUGGCAAGCGUUGUCCGGGUUUAUUGGGCGUAAAGCGAGCGCAGGCGGUUCCUUAAGUCUGAUGUGAAAGCCCCCGGCUCAACCGGGGAGGGUCAUUGGAAACUGGGGAACUUGAGUGCAGAAGAGGAGAGUGGAAUUCCAUGUGUAGCGGUGAAAUGCGUAGAUAUAUGGAGGAACACCAGUGGCGAAGGCGACUCUCUGGUCUGUAACUGACGCUGAGGCUCGAAAGCGUGGGUAGCAAACAGGAUUAGAUACCCUGGUAGUCCACGCCGUAAACGAUGAGUGCUAAGUGUUGGAGGGUUUCCGCCCUUCAGUGCUGCAGUUAACGCAUUAAGCACUCCGCCUGGGGAGUACGACCGCAAGGUUGAAACUCAAAGGAAUUGACGGGGACCCG
rnacentral:rRNA from 1 species